CCCUUACUACAUAUCAUUCAAUUUAUAUAGGCUGUGCGUUUAGUCCCCCUGCAAGCUAUCCAAAUCUAACCGAAAUAUUGACCAGAACAACUGCUUGUAGCUUCGCCAAACGUGGGGGAUAUUGUUGGCCAAACCAAAAGAAAAAAACAAGCCCAUUUUUUUUUAUUAAGCCUUUGCACCGAGAGGGGGAGCACCUUGAUGUUCUAGUACACUUCACCAACUCCCCCCAGUGCUACUGUGCUGUGCUUCAGCCGCUGUUAGGAAUGCGUUACUAAAUGAUGUAGGUCUUGCCGUGGUCUCCGGCUGUAUUGAUGGCUCAACCGUGAUCUAUCCUUUGAUGGGAUUCCGCGCCAAAUUACGCACGAAACACAACGGUCUUCGGAAUUGGAAUGGAAAUGCCCUCCCAACGCUGCAUUCGGAGCCGACGAUAUGAUCCAUGCCUAGUUAAUUUGACAAGGAUUUCUCCUUUAUCCAGUGUGUAGACCGUGAACGAGUUUGAAAUGUAUACAUUUCAUUCGGAUUUGGAAUAAAACGAAAAGCAAUUCAUCCGUGAAGAGCGAGGUGUUGCUGUCGAUUUCUUUUUAAAAUCUAUUCAGCAAAUAUCAAAGAAUUUUAGAUGGAACUGGAGAAUAUUGUGGCCAAUACGGUACUGCUAAAAGCAAGAGAAGGUGGAGGAGGGAAGCGGAAAGGGAGGAGUAAGAAAUGGAAGGAGAUCCUUCGCUUCCCCCACAUCAGCCAGUGCACUGAGCUGGGCAACAGCAUCGAUCGGGACUACAUGAGCCUGUGUGAGAAGCAGCCCAUCGGCAGACUGCUGUUCCGCCUGUACUGUGAGACCAGACCUGAAUUGCUGCGAUGCAUCCACCUACUGGACGCCAUGGAUGACUAUGAGCUGGCGCCUGAUGAGAAACGGAAAAGCAGAGGAGGCGAAAUUAUUGGGAAGUUCCUCACUAAACAGUCGUCAGAGUGUGUGGAGGCAGCAGAGAGCCUUGCUGAGCAGUGUAGAGAGAACCUGGAACUUCACCCCUGCAAGGAGAUCUUCAGUGACUGUCGCAAGGCUCUCCAUGACUACCUGAGACGAGCUCCCUUCUCUGACUACCAAAACAGCAUGUACUUUGACCGUUUCCUACAGUGGAAGAUGCUGGAGAGACAGCCAAUAACUAAAGACACGUUUCGACAGUACAGAGUACUGGGGAAGGGAGGAUUCGGAGAGGUGUGUGCGUGCCAGGUGCGAGCCACAGGGAAGAUGUAUGCCUGCAAGAAGCUGGAGAAGAAGAGAAUUAAGAAGAGGAAAGGAGAGUCCAUGGCCCUUAAUGAGAAACAAAUACUAGAGAAGGUCAACAGCAGAUUUGUUGUGAGUUUAGCAUAUGCCUAUGAGACCAAAGAUGCUCUGUGUCUGGUGCUGACCUUAAUGAAUGGAGGGGAUCUGAAGUUCCACAUCUACAGCAUGGGGACUCCAGGUUUUGAGAAGGAAAGGGUCCAGUUCUAUGCUGCCCAGAUCUGCUGCGGCCUGGACCACCUACACCAGGAAUCGAUCGUCUACAGGGAUUUAAAACCAGAGAAUAUUCUAUUAGAUGAUAAUGGACACAUCCGGAUCUCAGAUCUGGGCCUGGCCAUCAAAGUGCCUGAAGGGGACCCCAUACGAGGCAGAGUGGGAACAGUGGGUUACAUGGCUCCGGAGGUGAUCAACAACGAGCGCUAUGGGAUGAGUCCAGACUGGUGGGGGCUGGGAUGUCUCAUCUACGAGAUGACCGCCGGACGCUCACCCUUCCGCGCACGCAAAGAACGAGUGAAGAGGGAAGAAGUGGAGAAGAGGGUGCAGGAGGGAGAGGAGGAGUACAGCGACAAGUUUACAGAGGACACCCAGGCCAUCUGUAGAGUGCUGUUGACCAAAGAUCCUAAGCAGAGGCUGGGCUGUACAACGGAAGGGUCAACAGGGGUGAAGGCUCACUGCUUCUUCAGGAACAUCAACUUUAAGAGACUAGAGGCAGGCAUCCAGGAGCCCUCCUUUGUACCUGAUCCCCGGGCGGUGUACUGUAAGGAUGUGUUGGACAUUGAGCAGUUCUCUACAGUCAAGGGAGUAAAUCUGGACCAAACCGACAACGACUUCUACUUCAAAUUCUCUACAGGCUGUGUGUCCAUCCCAUGGCAGCACGAGGUGGGUGAACUAACUGGGACGUCUUUCCCUCUCCUCUGGCCUCUUCUGAGAGGUAGUCUGCAAGAUGAUAGACACAGAGUGUUUCAGUGAUCUGAAUGUGUUCGGGCCCCAGGCGACCAGAACCCCAGAUCUGGACUGGAACACACCCCCCGAGCCUCCCCGACGCAGCCUGCUGGACAGGAUCUUCAGGAGACAUCACCCCGAGGUGUCCAUCGCCAACAGUCGCGUGUCUUCCUGCAGUGUGAACUCAGUGGACUCCAUGUCAAACUCUGCCCCCUAGUGGCCAUGGCUCUGUGUGGCACCACACACAGACAGAGGAGGAGCCGGAAGGAUCUUCUCACUGCUGAUUGGUUUACACCUGGCCUGACCAGCUGUCAGUCUUCCGGAGGCACCCAACCCAAGCCCAUGGUCAGUCUAGGGGAAAUGCUGACCGUGACCCGGACCUGGGACCCAAGGGGAAUUAUUGGAGGGACGUUUCAAUAACGCAAAGACGUUUUGAAAACAAUGCUCAGACACUUCACUUACCUUCAGGAUCGCUGGAGUAGUGAAGAGCCACUGACUGUGUUGAUGAAUAAGAAAAAACUAGCUAAUUCAGGGGAUCCACUGUCUGAGAAAGACCACAGGAAAUACAAGAUGGGGUCUUUGUUGCUGUUUAUUUUUUAUUUUGAAAGAAAUCAAAUUAUUUGCAUAAAUUCACAUUCACACUCAAAUGCACUCUCUGUUCAUUUAUUCCUCUCUUCCCCCCUCCCCCUCUCUCUUUUUGUCUCUUUCUCCUUUUCACCUCCCUCUCCCCUAAUCACUUAUAAACGUACAUGAAACCAACAACAUCACCAACCUCAAGACACAAUGUGCUUAUUGCCUUGUAUACCCUCAGGCCAAAGAUAUAGUUCAGUUAUGUAUUUGUGUUAUUGUUGCCAUAUCCGUUUUGGAGGAGGAAGGGGGACUUGCCUGGUCUUUAUUCAAUCACAUAUUAAACUUGAGGCAGCAGCUAUGCUACACCUAAGUCACAAUCAAACAUGUGUUUGCAUACAACAGGCUGCCCCCCCCCCCUACCCCCCCCACGCACACACACAACUGUGUUAUUAGAAUUGUAACCACAAUACUUGUCUUGUUUUCUGCACUUUUCCCAAAGAGUGCACCACCGCGCCCUGUUGACCUUGAGAAAAAGUACAUUUACAUUACAUUUAAGUCAUUUAGCAGACGCUCUUAUCCAGAGCGACUUAAGUAGAUUUGUCAAACCAGUAAGCCACCAUUUAUACACCAAUUAAGAUGUUUUUACAGUACAGAUGUUAUUGUUUUACCUCAGACAUUAAAGUAAUAUUACUGUGAUGUAAAUGUUGUAAUAUCCAUUGAGCCAGUGCUGUUUUGUGUUUGUGUUGCCAUCACGACCAUGGGUGCAUCUCCAUAGUCUCAAUGGGGGGUCUCUCCUCCCUUUCUUCAGCUGCACUGAUCCUAAAGGAAAGGUGAGGAAUCCUGGAAGAUAUAUGACCUUUUUCUACAGGAAAGGAGCUUUAACCAAUCCAGUUCGGAUAAAGGAGAGGAAGCCGUGUUAGACUAUUGAGGUUCCAGGGCUCUGGUAGAGUAAUUGGUAAAGGGACCACAUGUCACCUCACAAUGGGAAGCUUUCCAACACACUCGAACCACAGGGAAGAACAGCUCUGGUUUUGGAAUUUGAUGUCUUAUUUUAAGGAAGACUAAAUAUUUACAGAAAACAAUUGAACUUACACAUUUAGUCUUGGCCAGUUAUUAUUUUAUUUGUAAAUCAUUUCACAAAUUGAAAAUCAGAAGUGCCUCCUCUUUAGCCUGAUCUUCUAGACGACUCGCACACAAAUGUUUGCACUUUGUUUCUCUCAUGAUCGAUUUGUUUCUUUAUGACACACACACACACUGUAUUUGGCUGGUGGUGGAGGCUGGGAAGUGAGAGAGAGAGAGAGAGGAUAAGGAGGAUGAAAAGGAGAGAACGAGGGAGGAUCUCUUCCUGCUAUUGUUGUACAUUACAGUGCUGAGUGUACAGAAUGUAAAGCCAAACCCACUGUGCUCUGCAGCUCCGAAUAAAUAAACCCUGUGCUGCCUUAGCAUCUCUGUACCA